rnacentral:lncRNA from 1 species
AUGCAGCAAAUGAUGGACAGAAUUGGUCACUUUAAUCUCUCAGGGUUCAAAUACAAACAUACCCUCCUGCACUCUCUCUCUCUCCAUCCGUUUCAUGUUCCCACCCUCCUGCACUCUCUCUCUCCAUCCCUUUCAUGUUCCCACCCUCCUGCACUCUCUCUCUCCAUCCGUUUCAUGUUCCUACCCUCCUGCACUCUCUCUCUCCAUCCCUUUCAUGUUCCCACCCUCCUGCACUCUCUCUCUCCAUCCCUUUCAUGUUCCCACCCUCCUGCACUCUCUCUCUCUCCAUCCGUUUCAUGUUCCCACCCUCCUGCACUCUCUCUCUCCAUCCCUUUCAUGUUCCCACCCUCCUGCACUCUCUCUCUCCAUCCGUUUCAUGUUCCCACCCUCCUGCACUCUCUCUCUCUCCAUCCGUUUCAUGUUCCCACCCUCCUGCACUCUCUCUCUCUCCAUCCGUUUCAUGUUCCCACCCUCCUGCAGUCUCUCUCCAUCCCUUUCAUGUUCCCACCCUCCUGCACUCUCUCUCUCCAUCCGUUUCGUGUUCCACCCUCCUGCGCUCUCUCUCUCCAUCCAUUUCAUGUUCCCACCCUCCUGCACUCUCUCCAUCCGUUUCAUGUUCCCACCCUCCUGCACUCUCUCCAUCCGUUUCAUGUUCCCACCCUCCUGCACUCUCUCCAUCCGUUUCGUGUUCCACCCUCCUGCGCUCUCUCUCUCCAUCCGUUUCGUGUUCCCACCCUCCUACACUCUCUCCAUCCGUUUCGUGUUCCACCCUCCUGCGCUCUCUCUCUCCAUCCGUUUCAUGUUCCCACCCUCCUACACUCUCUCCAUCCGUUUCAUGUUCCCACCCUCCUACACUCUCUCCAUCCGUUUCGUGUUCCACCCUCCUGCACUCUCUCCAUCCGUUUUGUUUUCCACCCUCCUGCACUCUCUCCAUCCGUUUCGUGUUCCACCCUCCUGCACUCUCUCCAUCCGUUUCGUGUUCCACCCUCCUGCACUCUCUCCAUCCGUUUCGUGUUCCACCCUCCUGCACUCUCUCCAUCCGUUUCGUGUUCCACCCUCCUGCGCUCUCUCUCUCCAUCCGUUUCGUGUUCCACCCUCCUGCGCUCUCUCUCUCCAUCCGUUUCGUGUUCCACCCUCCUACACUCUCUCCAUCCGUUUCGUGUUCCACCCUCCUGCGCUCUUCCCUCUCCCUUUGUGCACUGUGAGUUGUGUAUUUGGUUUUACUGUCUCUUCUGUUCUUUGGCACUGACAUCUAACCUUCAUCUAAUAAUGAAUGAAUGA